rnacentral:rRNA from 1 species
CCGUGAAAGUCCGGGGCUCAACUCCGGAUCUNCGGUGGGUACGGGCAGACUAGAGUGAUGUAGGGGAGACUGGAAUUCCUGGUGUANCGGUGAAAUGCACAGAUAUCAGGAGGAACACCGAUGGCGAAGGCAGGUCUCUGGGCAUUAACUGACGCUGAGGAGCGAAAGCAUGGGGAGCGGACAGGAUUAGAUACCCUGGUAGUCCAUNCCGUAAACGUUGGGCACUAGGUGUGGGGGACAUUCCACGUUUUCCGCGCCGUAGCUAACGCAUUAAGUGCCCCGCCUGGGGAGUACGGCCGCAAGGCUAAAACUCAAAGGAAUUGACGGGGGCCCGCACAAGCGGCGGAGCAUGCGGAUUAAUUCGAUGCAACGCGAAGAACCUUACCAAGGCUUGACAUGAACCAGACCGGGCUGGAAACAGUCCUUCCCCUUUGGGGUUGGUUUACAGGUGGUGCAUGGUUGUCGUCAGCUCGUGUCGUGAGAUGUUGGGUUAAGUCCCGCAACGAGCGCAACCCUCGUUCUAUGUUGCCAGCACGUGAUGGUGGGGACUCAUAGGAGACUGCCGGGGUCAACUCGGAGGAAGGUGGGGNCGACGUCAAAUCAUCAUGCCCCUUAUGUCUUGGGCUUCACGCAUNCUACAAUGGCCGGUACAAAGGGUUGCGAUACUGUGAGGUGGAGCUAAUCCCNCAAAGCCGGUCUCAGUUCGGAUUGGGGUCUGCAACUCGACCCCAUGAAGUCGGAGUCGCUAGUAAUCGCAGAUCAGCANCGCUNCGGUGAAUACGUUCCCGG